rnacentral:rRNA from 1 species
UACGUAGGGAGCAAGCGUUGUCCGGAAUCAUUGGGCGUAAAGCGCGCGUAGGCGGCCCUGUAAGUCCGUUGUGAAAGUCAAAGGCUCAACCUUUGAAAGCCGAUGGAUACUGCAGGGCUAGAGUCCGGAAGAGGUGAGUGGAAUUCCUGGUGUAGCGGUGGAAUGCGCAGAUAUCAGGAGGAACACCGGCGGUGUAGACGGCUUGCUAGACCACCCCUGACGCUGAGGCACGAAAGCGUGGGUAGCAAACAGG